GGGGCUAUGGCUUAGUGGUACAGGGUCUGUUUGUUAUGCAGAAGAUCUUAGGUUCAAUUCCUUACAUCUUCA
rnacentral:tRNA from 1 species